rnacentral:rRNA from 1 species
ACCCCAAACCGACACAGGUGGUCAGGUAGAGAAUACCAAGGCGCUUGAGAGAACUCGGGUGAAGGAACUAGGCAAAAUGGUGCCGUAACUUCGGGAGAAGGCACGCUGAUAUGUAGGUGAAGUCCCUCGCGGAUGGAGCUGAAAUCAGUCGAAGAUACCAGCUGGCUGCAACUGUUUAUUAAAAACACAGCACUGUGCAAACACGAAAGUGGACGUAUACGGUGUGACGCCUGCCCGGUGCCGG